UAUUAUCACACAACCACAAAGUGAUGGUAUCGAUUGAAGAUACCAGUUGAGAUAAAUGAUUUGGUAAAGUAGUCGCAGGACUUCAAUUGGGUCUCACGCCGAGGAAUCCUCCAGUACGACUGGGCAGCGCGAUUUUCAGAUGACCGUAAUUACUUUCGGUCGGUUGAACAGACGAACCAGGGACGCAGGUCCCAGCUUUAUUCAGGUAAAGCCCCCGCCCAUGCGCAGGUAUGGACUUCCGCAGCGGUGCGGUGUUUGAACGACGAACGUGACCGGCAGUAGUCGCAAGCCGCCGGUUAACUAACAUCAGUAUCAGUUAGACCUGAUUUCAUAGUCGGCAAAUAUAAACGGGUUUCUAGUUAAUUACAGGGCGCGUUAAAGUAAUCGAGCUGGACGAACUUACAACGGACAGUUAGGCCACAGAGCCGCAGAAAGCUUUCAGUAUACAACAUGUUGGCAUUUUCUUUUGUGUGAUCCCAUGGGGUUGCUGAGGCAGACGAAGCCACAUAUGCCGCAUGCUACUUCAGUGUAUUUAUGCUUACCUGUCUCGGCCAUAGCCGAAUAUGACACGAGUGAGGAAUCUUAAGCCCAAAUGCACAGUUCUAUGCCGACAAACUCGAGUACUUGAGUUUCCGCCUUACAGGCACGGAAAGCCGAAUCACGUACCUGCUCACAUAUAAAAAUGGGCGAUUGCUUGCGACUUGCAAUUUAUUGCGACAUUUUGAGUUGUAAGCCGUAUGCUGGAGCGCACUUCACUUCCUCGCAACCGCAAUUUGUUUUGCAAACAACCGAAAUUGCAAGAUUUUCGACAUUUUUUGCAUUGCAAACUUCCGCGGUCAGAGGGCUAGCAAUUUCGUAACACGACAUGGCAGCCCAGCAGGACAAACCUGGAUACAGCAUCUAGCUCUGACAUAUGGCAUAUGGGUCCAUAUGACACAUGUCAAUAUGAAUCUACAAAUCGCCUAAGAGUGUUGUUUCAAAGCUCGAUCGCCCACCGUUGCCUAACCAGGCGGCACGCGUAUGGAAGGACAUAGAAGCCUUGUCGGGUCUUAAAACAUGUGCCGCUUCAUAGCACAUGGUCAGGUCCGGCAGGUAUGGCGCCAAACAGCCCAUCAAUCCAUGAAGGGGGCAUGCCCAUCACAUCUGUCCGUUUCUUAGGUAGGACAUCUGUCAGUUCGGGAAGAUUGCAAUCGACAGCCAGCUAGCGGGUGUCGUCUGUUGUAUCACGACUUUAGGAAAGCACCAAUCGGUGGAUGUAAAUCCCGUGAUAUGCCCAAAAUACGGCAUUUACCCCCCUCCAGGUGAGGACGUCCUCGACCUAGACCAUUUCCAUGCCCGAUGGCUCUACUCUUCGGGAGUCUGGAGCCCACUGUAACAACCACACACACAUUUCCAUGGUCACUGUGGGUCCGGCCCCCUCCCGGGGGCGGCCGCCAGUCUGCAUCAUAUGGGAUUUGAACGUCGCGACUCCUUGCUAGGCAGGAACCAACCAAACUGCCGGAUGAGGCUGCUUAGCCUAUAUGCAUGCAGGCCUGCAUUGAUUUGCAUUUCUCGUUUCGCCCACAGGCGCACAACAUACCCCACAGCACUCCUUAUUACCUCGGCAGGUUUGCAUAACAAGUAGCUGCCGCCGGAAAAAUAGUAAUGGAUAAUGCAAAAUCCGCUGGAUGAUAUUUGUGCUCAUAUGGCAUAAGAGAAUGGUUCGGUUGUGGGGUCUGGCAACGUCUAAACAUUCGAUCGUCUAUUUAAGCCAUCCUAUUCCAAGAUCGAUGCGCGUAC
rnacentral:lncRNA from 1 species